rnacentral:rRNA from 1 species
UACAGAGGUCUCAAGCGUUGUUCGGAUUCAUUGGGCGUAAAGGGUGCGUAGGCGGCGCGGUAAGUCGGGUGUGAAAGUCUUGGAGCUUAACUCCGAAACUGCAUUCGAUACUGCCGUGCUUGAGGACUGGAGAGGAGACUGGAAUUUACGGUGUAGCGGUGAAAUGCGUAGAUAUCGUAAGGAAGACCAGUGGCGAAGGCGGGUCUCUGGACAGGUUCCUGACGUGAGGCACGAAGGCCAGGGGAGCAAACGGGA